UACGGAGGGUGCAAGCGUUAUCCGGAUUCACUGGGUUUAAAGGGUGCGUAGGUGGGCAGGUAAGUCAGUGGUGAAAUCUCUGGGCUUAACCCGGAAACUGCCGUUGAUACUAUCUGUCUUGAAUAUAGUGGAGGUGAGCGGAAUAUGUCAUGUAGCGGUGAAAUGCUUAGAUAUGACAUAGAACAUCGAUUGCGAAGGCAGCUCGCUGGGCUGUUGCUGACGCUGAGGCGCGACAGCGUGGGGAGCAAACAGG
rnacentral:rRNA from 1 species